UACGGGGGGGGCAAGCGUUGUUCGGAAUUACUGGGCGUAAAGGGCUCGUAGGCGGCCAACUAAGUCAGACGUGAAAUCCUAGAGCUUAACUCUAGAACUGCCAUUGAUACUAUCUGUCUCGAAUAUUGUGGAGGUAAGCGGAAUAUGUCAUGUAGCGGUGAAAUGCUUAGAUAUGACAUAGAACACCUAUUGCGAAGGCAGCUUACUACGCAUAUAUUGACGCUGAGGCACGAAAGCGUGGGGAUCAAACAGG
rnacentral:rRNA from 1 species